CUACACAGAGAACAAGCCAAAACGCCAACAGUCGACACUGGAAUCAGCAGCAGCAGCAGAGAAGCUCGAUAAUGGAGUAGUUUGAAGUAACCGAAGGGAUUUCGGUGGCCUACUCACCUCGACAACCGCCCUGGGAGCAGCACCACGUCGAGGAUGGUAAGGGACAGCAGUCGCCCGGCCUCCUCGCAGCGUCACAAUGUUGAAAGCACCCUCGAUCCGCUCCGCGGCGCGUCGUCGACGAAGCUUGAGCUUCUCCCUUGAGCUCCUCCACCACCUCUACUCAGCCAAGGGGGAAGAGGAAGAAGCACAGCAGAGGAGGAAGAAGCCCUCCCCCCUCUCUCCUCCCUGCUCUUAAGGUAAGGGGAAAAGUGGUGACAAGACUAGAGAGGAAAAAGUCAAACAGCACCAUACCUGUCAAAGUGUACCGGUACAGCUCACUGAAAAUCUGCUAUUUCGCAGAUCUUCAAGAUACACGCUGCUCUCAAGUUCCCACAAGGCCCGUUUGGCGUCCACUUCGCGCCAACGCGACCCGGACUUGACCCGACACUCUCCAGAGCUGUCGACAAGCCUCAGCUAAAAUUUCCGGUCUCUACAUGGGGUGUGACAACUACGAAUAGUUUCCAGUGGGUUCGACCGCCGACUCCACCGAUCUACCCACUAGGUCUUAAGCAGGCAUAGAGAGAUAUAUAUAUGCAAUAUAUAUAAAGCUAAACUGAACUGAAAGCGGGUAUGUAAAACAGGUCUAUCAAGCUAUACCUCAAUCUGAUAUCAUGGAUGCAUGAACAAUAAAUAAA
rnacentral:lncRNA from 1 species